rnacentral:rRNA from 1 species
CACUAUCGUUAACUGAAUACAUAGGUUAACGAGGCGAACCGGGGGAACUGAAACAUCUAAGUACCCCGAGGAAAAGAAAUCAACCGAGAUUCCCCCAGUAGCGGCGAGCGAACGGGGAGCAGCCCAGAGUCUGAAUCAGCUUGUGUGUUAGUGGAACGGUCUGGAAAGUCCGACGGUACAGGGUGAUAGUCCCGUACACCAAAAUGCACAGGCUGUGAACUCGAAGAGUAGGGCGGGACACGUGGUAUCCUGUCUGAAUAUGGGGGGACCAUCCUCCAAGGCUAAAUACUCCUGACUGACCGAUAGUGAACCAGUACCGUGAGGGAAAGGCGAAAAGAACCCCGGCGAGGGGAGUGAAAAAGAACCUGAAACCGUGUACGUACAAGCAGUGGGAGCACCUUCGGGUGUGACUGCGUACCUUUUGUAUAAUGGGUCAGCGACUUAUAUUCUGUAGCAAGGUUAACCGUAUAGGGGAGCCGCAGGGAAACCGAGUCUUAACUGGGCGUUAAGUUGCAGGGUAUAGACCCGAAACCCGGUGAUCUAGCCAUGGGCAGGUUGAAGGUUGGGUAACACUAACUGGAGGACCGAACCGACUAAUGUUGAAAAAUUAGCGGAUGACUUGUGGCUGGGGGUGAAAGGCCAAUCAAACCGGGAGAUAGCUGGUUCUCCCCGAAAGCUAUUUAGGUAGCGCCUCGUGAACUCAUCUUCGGGGGUAGAGCACUGUUUCGGCUAGGGGGUCAUCCCGACUUACCAACCCGAUGCAAACUACGAAUACCGAAGAAUGUUAUCACGGGAGACACACGGCGGGUGCUAACGUCCGUCGUGAAGAGGGAAACAACCCAGACCGCCAGCUAAGGUCCCAAAGUCAUGGUUAAGUGGGAAACGAUGUGGGAAGGCACAGACAGCCAGGAUGUUGGCUUAGAAGCAGCCAUCAUUUAAAGAAAGCGUAAUAGCUCACUGGUCGAGUCGGCCUGCGCGGAAGAUGUAACGGGGCUAAACCAUGCACCGAAGCUGCGGCAGCGACACUAUGUGUUGUUGGGUAGGGGAGCGUUCUGUAAGCCUGCGAAGGUGUGCUGUGAGGCAUGCUGGAGGUAUCAGAAGUGCGAAUGCUGACAUAAGUAACGAUAAAGCGGGUGAAAAGCCCGCUCGCCGGAAGACCAAGGGUUCCUGUCCAACGUUAAUCGGGGCAGGGUGAGUCGACCCCUAAGGCGAGGCCGAAAGGCGUAGUCGAUGGGAAACAGGUUAAUAUUCCUGUACUUGGUGUUACUGCGAAGGGGGGACGGAGAAGGCUAUGUUAGCCGGGCGACGGUUGUCCCGGUUUAAGCAUGUAGGCUGGUUGUCCAGGCAAAUCCGGAUAAUCAAGGCUGAGGUGUGAUGACGAGGCACUACGGUGCUGAAGUAACAAAUGCCCUGCUUCCAGGAAAAGCCUCUAAGCAUCAGGUAACAUCAAAUCGUACCCCAAACCGACACAGGUGGUCAGGUAGAGAAUACCAAGGCGCUUGAGAGAACUCGGGUGAAGGAACUAGGCAAAAUGGUGCCGUAACUUCGGGAGAAGGCACGCUGGUGUGUAGGUGAAGUCCCUGCGGAUGGAGCUGAGACCAGUCGAAGAUACCAGCUGGCUGCAACUGUUUAUUAAAAACACAGCACUGUGCAAACACGAAAGUGGACGUAUACGGUGUGACGCCUGCCCGGUGCCGGAAGGUUAAUUGAUGGGGUUAUCCGUAAGGAGAAGCUCUUGAUCGAAGCCCCGGUAAACGGCGGCCGUAACUAUAACGGUCCUAAGGUAGCGAAAUUCCUUGUCGGGUAAGUUCCGACCUGCACGAAUGGCGUAAUGAUGGCCAGGCUGUCUCCACCCGAGACUCAGUGAAAUUGAACUCGCUGUGAAGAUGCAGUGUACCCGCGGCAAGACGGAAAGACCCCGUGAACCUUUACUAUAGCUUGACACUGAACAUUGAGCCUUGAUGUGUAGGAUAGGUGGGAGGCUUUGAAGCGUGGACGCCAGUCUGCGUGGAGCCAACCUUGAAAUACCACCCUUUAAUGUUUGAUGUUCUAACGUUGGCCCCUUACCGGGGUUGCGGACAGUGUCUGGUGGGUAGUUUGACUGGGGCGGUCUCCUCCCAAAGCGUAACGGAGGAGCACGAAGGUUAGCUAAUCCUGGUCGGACAUCAGGAGGUUAGUGCAAUGGCAUAAGCUAGCUUGACUGCGAGCGUGACGGCGCGAGCAGGUGCGAAAGCAGGUCAUAGUGAUCCGGUGGUUCUGAAUGGAAGGGCCAUCGCUCAACGGAUAAAAGGUACUCCGGGGAUAACAGGCUGAUACCGCCCAAGAGUUCAUAUCGACGGCGGUGUUUGGCACCUCGAUGUCGGCUCAUCACAUCCUGGGGCUGAAGUAGGUCCCAAGGGUAUGGCUGUUCGCCAUUUAAAGUGGUACGCGAGCUGGGUUUAGAACGUCGUGAGACAGUUCGGUCCCUAUCUGCCGUGGGCGCUGGAGAAUUGAGGGGGGCUGCUCCUAGUACGAGAGGACCGGAGUGGACGCAUCACUGGUGUUCGGGUUGUCAUGCCAAUGGCACUGCCCGGUAGCUAAAUGCGGAAGAGAUAAGUGCUGAAAGCAUCUAAGCACGAAACUUGCCCCGAGAUGAGUUCUCCCUGAGACUUUAAGUCUCCUGAAGGAACGUUGAAGACGACGACGUUGAUAGGCCGGGUGUGUAAGCGCAGCGAUGCGUUGAGCUAACCGGUACUAAUGAACCGUGAGGCUUAACCUU